ACUGACAAGGAGUCUGACGAAAGCGACGUAGAAGAGGAAGCGGCGCAUCGUCUCCCUCCGGAGUUGGCGGAGUUGUUUUGAAGUGACACUGAUAGUUUGUUCGUUGUUUUCAGGUCAGGUGCUGAGGCAGAACCACUUUCCUGAAGGCAUUGACAGUGGGUGAACCUUCGGCCCAGUCUGAGGUUCUGAGCGCAAUGGAGAAGGCUUUCUUCCAGGAUAUCCCUGUACUUGGCUGCAUUCAUCUUUUCUUCGAUUGCAACCGGUCGUCCUGUCCCUGCAUCUGGAAAACACCCCCGCCGUGCUUCGCUGUUGGGACUGUAUUGGACAGGUGAUUAGCGGCGCCUGGUUUUCUCCACAGGUACCGCCUAGAAUGAAGGCCAACAAUUUCUAUCUUGGUCUCAUCGGACCAGAGAAUCUUAUUUCUCACCAUCCUUGAGUCCUUCAGGUGUUUUUGAGCAAACACCAUGCAGGCUUUCAUGUGUCUUGCACUGAGUAGAGGCUUCAGUCGGGCCACUCUGCCAAGCUUGAAAAUCCGCUGGUCCCGCAUGCCAAGAUAAAAGUUCAAAGGCCAUUUGUCCUUUGAAAGGCAACUCGUUAAGACAUCUGGGACAAUGGAUGGGACACGAGCGGCACCCACAGGCGGUGGAGAGUUCUUGCGGCCAGCGAUUGAAAGUUGCCACUAAUCACAAUCUUCACCGGAGUUGAACGUUGUCAGUGUGUCAUUCAGAAGUAUUCAAUGGCAUCGUCGUGUCUCUUGGACUCCUCUAUGCUACCCAGCUGCGGUCCCCCCCUCAACAUGCGGUAGACUUUGGAACGCACGAAUGUGGAUGUGAUCGUCUCCUCCCACGUGCACCUGCAAUAAACGUAUGAUAACACCGACGUAUAGGAAAACCUCUCUUCUGCUACUAAGAGUGUCAGGAUGUGCUACAUUAUAAACAACUGGACACUUUUCUCAGAAUGGCAAAUGUAUCCAAACAUACUCGCAUAGAUCAUGUAUUGCCAUGACAUCAGCAUUCAGAGACACCACAACAGGGCAGACAAUCCAGGCAAUUCGCGAGGGCCCUGAGCUGAUGGGGAUUCCAGGAGAUGGCUGACAUUAGCCCAUAUAGACGACAAAACACUGCUUUAGACACUACAAUGACAACAUGUCACUGUCAGGAAUCCCCCAUAUAGGGCCUCUGAAUACAGCAAUUCCUUGUGUGUAAUGUGCUCCCCCCCCAAAAAAAAUAGUCAAAAGUCAAUAGUGUGCAUUAUACAUAGGUAUAGGGGCAAAUGGGGGGAAAAAACUUUCACCUUUUAGAAAGUCGGCGGCAUUUUGCGGAUCUGUAAGCCCUCCGCACUUCAUCAUCUUGGCGUCUAGCAAGUCGAGAGCCGCAAGAACUCAACUCAAGUGAGUCUGUUACUGUCCAACUCUACCAUCAUGUUAUCAUGUGAUGGUGACUGGUGGGCCGUACCAUUCGUGUGGAGCCGGGCACGUCGUUAAUUAAACCGAGACAGAAAAGUGUUAUACUGUUCAGCCUACAGAUUCAAAUGCUACCAUUUUCUGCAAUUCUACUCUUGAGCUGUCUUUUCAGAUUAUUUGAUUUCAUUUUACCAAAUGGUUUCUCUUUUAAUGUAUUGGUCUUUGGACCCACUUUUAUAAAACAAUGAAAGAGUCUGAGGUGUGGCUGCGUACUCGCUUCUUUCUCAUAAACUGCGACUUCGGUGGAAUCUC